rnacentral:rRNA from 1 species
UGCCAGCAGCCGCGGUAACACGGGGGGCGCAAGCGUUAUUCGGAAUUAUUGGGCGUAAAGGGCGCGCAGGCGGUCUGUAAGUCGGAAUUUAAAUCCCACAGCUUAACUGUGGAUCUGGUUUCGAAACUGCAGGUCUUGAGUUCGAGAGGGGAGAGUGGAAUUCCUGGUGUAGCGGUGGAAUGCGUAGAUAUCAGGAGGAACACCGGUGGCGAAGGCGGCUCUCUGGCUCGAUACUGACGCUAAGACACGAAAGCGUGGGGAGCAAACAGGAUUAGAUA